GGGUGAGUAACACGUGGAUAACCUACCUAUAAGACUGGGAUAACUUCGGGAAACAGGAGCUAAUACCGGAUAAUAUUUUGAACCGCAUGGUUCAAAAGUGAAAGACGGUCUUGCUGUCACUUAUAGAUGGAUCCGCGCUGCAUUAGCUAGUUGGUAAGGUAACGGCUUACCAAGGCAACGAUGCAUAGCCGACCUGAGAGGGUGAUCGGCCACACUGGAACUGAGACACGGUCCAG
rnacentral:rRNA from 1 species